ACAAUGGCAGGUACANAGGGGUGCUACCGGGUGACCGGAUGCCGAUCUCGAAAACCUGUCCCAGUUCGGACUGGAGUCUGCAACCCGACUCCACGAAGUUGGAUUCGCUAGUAAUCGCGCAUCAGCCAUGGCGCGGUGAAUACGUUCCCGGGCCUUGUACACACCGCCCGUCAAGCCAUGGGAGCCGGGGGCGCCUGAAGUCCGGGACCGCGAGGACCGGCCUAGGGCGAAACUGGUGACUGGGGCUAAGUCGUAACAAGGUACC
rnacentral:rRNA from 1 species